UCAGGUGUGCCACAUAAUGGGAUUCCAAA
rnacentral:piRNA from 1 species